GAAUAAAACAGAUACGAGGAUUAUUUACCUUGAGUUGGGCACUUUGGUAAAUAGGAGUUAGUAGUGCAACCGGCUUUCAUC
rnacentral:ncRNA from 2 species